GGUGCAGUAGCAAAGUUGGUCUAUGCAGAGGACUGAAAAUCCUUUGAUGUUGGUUCGAUCCCAACCUGUACCAC
rnacentral:tRNA from 1 species